rnacentral:rRNA from 1 species
UACAGAGGGUGCGAGCGUUAAUCGGAAUUACUGGGCGUAAAGCGCACGUAGGCGGCUUGGUAUGUCGGGUGUGAAAUCCCUGGGCUCAACCUGGGAACUGCAUCCGAAACUGCCUUGCUAGAGUAUGGGAGAGGGAAGUGGAAUUUCCGGUGUAGCGGUGAAAUGCGUAGAUAUCGGAAGGAACAUCAGUGGCGAAGGCGACUUCCUGGACCAAUACUGACGCUCAGGUGCGAAAGCGUGGGGAGCAAACAGG